rnacentral:rRNA from 1 species
AAGAACCUCUGCCUUUGGGUAGACCUCCCACCCUGUGUCGUUAUACCUCUGUUGCUUUGGCGGGCCGCGGGGCCCCGGCCCCGCCCCUGGCUCCGGCUAGGGCGCGCCCGCCCCACGACCUCUAACCUGACCGUUAGUGUCGUAUGAGUACUACCCGCAGUUAAAACUUUUAGCAACGAACUCUAGGUUCUGGCCCCCAUAAUAACGCAGCGCACUGCGAUAAGUAAUGUGAAUUGCAAAACUCAGUGAACCACCGAACCUAUGAACGCACAUAGUGCCCUUCGGUAUUCCGGGGGGCAUGCCUGUUCGAGCGUCAUUACGACCCUCAUGCUCUGCUUGGUCUUGGGCGUCACGGUACCGGUGUGCCUUAAGGUCCUGGCGCGCGCCGUCUGGCUCCAGAGUAGGCAUACGCCCGCUGCCCACCUCCCGUGGAUGCUGGCCAACAUCCCCCAACUCCUGAAGGUAGACCUCCCAUCAGGUCGGGAUACCCGCUAAGAUCCCUCCUAUGAAAACCGA